rnacentral:rRNA from 1 species
UACAGAGGUCUCAAGCGUUGUUCGGAUUCAUUGGGCGUAAAGGGUGUGUAGGUGGCGCCGUUAGUCGGGUGUGAAAUUUCGGAGCUUAACUCCGAAACUGCAUUCGAUACUGCGGUGCUUGAGGACUGGAGAGGAGACUGGAAUUCAUGGUGUAGCAGUGAAAUGCGUAGAGAUCAUGAGGAAGACCAGUGGCGAAGGCGGGUCUCGUGGACAGUUCCUGACACUGAGACACGAAGGCCAGGGGAGCAAACGGG